GUCAUACCUCAAUCAAGUGAGCCACUUAGUAGUGUGCUGGUGGUGGAGGGGAGGUAUAGUAAUAGACAGGAGGGGGAGGAGACUUGUAGACUGGAGGAGGUGGCGGCGGAGACUUGUACUUGUAGACAGGAGGUGGAGGAGAUUUGUACUUGUAGACUGGAGGAGGUGGUGGAGGAGACUUGUACUUGUAGACUGGAGGAGGAGGAGAUUUGUACUUGUAAACUGGAGGAGGUGGUGGAGGAGACUUGUACUCGUAGACUGGUGGUGGGGGAGACUUGUAUUUGUAAACUGGGGGAGGUGGAGGUGGUGACUUGUACUUGUAGACUGGAGGAGGUGGGGACUUGUAUUUGUAAACUGGAGGUGGUGGUGGUGGAGACUUGUACUUGUAGACUGGAGGAGGUGGAGGAGGAGAACUGUAGUGGUAAGGAGGAGGUGGUGAAUGCUUAGGAGGAGGGGGAGAGCUAUAGUGGUAAGGAGGAGGAGGAGAGUGCUUUGGUGGUGGAGGAGAGCUAUAGUGGUAUGGAGGCGGUGGAGAGUGCUUUGGUGGAGGAGGUGAGCUGUAGUGGUAAGGAGGAGGGGGUGAGUGCUUAGGGGGAGGAGGAGAGCUGUAGUGGUAUGGAGGAGGUGGUGAGUGUGUUGGUGGUGGAGGUGAGCUAUAGUGGUAUGGAGGAGGGGGUGAGUGCUUGGGGGGAGGAGGAGAGCUGUAGUGGUAAGGAGGAGGUGGAGAGUGCUUUGGUGGAGGAGGUGAGCUGUAGUGGUAAGGAGGAGGUGGGGAUUGCUUUGGUGGAGGAGGAGAGCUGUAGUGGUAUGGAGGAGGGGGUGAAUACACUGGUGGAGGAGGAGAGGUAUAGUGGUAUGGAGGAGGUGGAGAUGAAUAGCUAUAGCUUGCACUGCUCUCCAAAGGCAUGAGGGCGAAUAGGACAACACAAAGGGACAUGAGUGGGAGGCCUUGAGACGCCAUGC
rnacentral:lncRNA from 1 species